rnacentral:rRNA from 1 species
UACGAGGGGGGCGAGCGUUGUUCGGAAUUAUUGGGCGUAAAGGGUGCGUAGGCGGUUUGGUAAGUCUUGUGUGAAAUCUCCAGGCUCAACUUGGAGUCUGCACGAGAAACUGCCGGGCUUGAGUGUGGGAGAGGUGAGUGGAAUUCCUGGUGUAGCGGUGAAAUGCGUAGAUAUCGAGAGGAACACCUGCGGCGAAGGCGGGUUGCUGGGCUGACACUGACGCUGAGGCGCGAAAGCUAGGGGAGCGAACGGG